AUGGCGGCUCCCGAGCAGCCUCUACCGCCGAUGGCAAGAGGAUGUCAGAGCUCUGCUUCACUCUCUCCGUCACGGGGCGACCGAACCCUUCUUGUGAGGCACCUGCCAGCCGAGCUGACUGCUGAGGAGAAAGAGGAUUUGCUGAAAUAUUUCGGGGCGCAGUCGGUGCGCGUCCUGUCAGAUAAGGGACGACUGAAACAUACAGCUUUUGCUACUUUUCCUAGUGAAAAAGCAGCUAUAAAGGCAUUGACAAGACUUCAUCAGCUGAAACUUUUGGGUCAUACUUUAGUUGUUGAAUUUGCAAAAGAACAAGAUCGAGUUCAUUCCCCAUGUCCCUCUUCAGACACUGAAAAAAAGAAAAGAUCUGAUGAUCCUGUGGAAGAUGAUAAAGAAAAGAAAGAACUUGGUUGUUUAACCAUAGAAAAUGGGAUUGCACCAAACCAUGGGCUGACUUUUCCUCUGAAUUCAUGUCUCAAGUAUAUGUACCCACCACCUUCAAGCACAAUCCUAGCAAACAUAGUAAAUGCUUUGGCAAGUGUGCCUAAGUUCUAUGUACAGGUUCUUCAUCUUAUGAAUAAAAUGAAUUUGCCCACACCUUUUGGACCAAUUACUGCGCGACCUCCCAUGUAUGAAGACUAUAUGCCAUUACAUGCACCUCUUCCACCUGCAUCUCCUCAGCCACCAGAGGAACCUCCUUUGCCAGAUGAGGAGGAGGAAUUAUCAAGUAAAGAAUCAGAAUAUGAAAGCAGUGAUGAUGAAGACCGACAGAGAAUGACCAAACUAAUGGAACUAGCAAAUCUUCAGCCCAAAAGACCGAAAACAAUAAAGCAGCACCAUGUUAGAAAAAAGCGAAAAAUAAAGGAUAUGUUGAAAACACCAUCUACUGCACACAGCAGUUUACAUCCAGUGCUGUUACCUUCGGAUGUAUUUGACCAACCACAACCUGUAAGUAAUAAGAAAAUUGAAUUUCAUAUAUCUACUGACAUGCCAUCUGCAUUUAAGAAAGAUCUAGAAAAAGAACAAAAUUGUGAAGAACAAAAUUAUGAUUUACCUGCUACUGAAGGUGAUGCACCCAAUGUAGGAUUUGGAAAAAUCUUCCCCAAACCUAAUUUGAACAUCACAGAGGAGAUUAAAGAAGACUGUGAUGAAAUGCCAUCAGAGUGUAUUUCUAGAAGGGAGUUGGAAAAAGGCAGAAUUUCUAGAGAAGAAAUGGAAACACUUUCAGUUUUCAGAAGUUAUGAACCUGGUGAACCAAACUGUAGAAUUUACGUAAAGAAUUUAGCUAAACAUGUUCAAGAAAAGGACCUUAAGUUUAUUUUUGGGAGAUACGUUGACUUUUCUUCAGAAACACAACGGAUAAUGUUUGAUAUACGUUUGAUGAAAGAAGGUCGCAUGAAAGGACAAGCUUUCAUUGGACUUCCAAAUGAAAAAGCAGCAGCAAAAGCCUUAAAGGAAGCUAAUGGAUAUGUUCUUUUUGGAAAACCUAUGGUGGUUCAAUUUGCUCGAUCUGCUAGACCAAAACAAGAUUCUAAAGAAGGAAAAAGAAAGUGUUAAAAAUUAAUAAAGAAGCAUUCCUGCGUAAAUACUGCUGUAAUACUGUCAUACAAAGUGUAUCCUUUCUUGUUGUAUCCUUUUUGGGGCAGUGUUUUUUGUUCUUCCUAGAAAUGUUUUGUCACUUUCCCACUCAUGGAUUCAGAAUAAGCAAUAGUUUUUUAUAAUUUUAUUCAAAUGAGUUAUUUUUAAAAUUAUCAACAUUGAUUGGACAAAUCAUUUAUGUGUUUUUUUUUUGUUUUUUGGGGAGUUUUUUUGUUGUUUGUUUUUUUGUUGUUUUGUUUUUUUUUUGUUGUUUGUGUUUUUUUGUUUUUUUUGCUUUGUUGCUGAAUUUUCUAUGCAGUUCUUGAGGUUAUGUAAUUUUUCCAGGGAAAGUUAGUGAAUCAGGUCAACGUAUUUACUUGGAGAAUGUAUGCAUUUGCUUUAACACAGAAAUUAGUCUUGUUUCUUAUAUUUAUGUAUUUCCUAAACCUAAUUCAGUAACAUGCCUUCUGUUUUAUGAUGUAUCUGGUUUAGGUGUUCUAUAUAAUGUGUUGUAAAUUUUGUUUGGGGAAAGGAUUUUUUUCAUUUAAAAAAGUACACAUAAUGAAAAUUAAAAUAACUGGAUUUCCUUGUCAGUUCCAAAUAAGAGGAGCAGACCUCACAUCUCAGGUUUUAAUAUUGAUACGUCUUUUGAGAUAGAUAGCAAGCAGAAGUAUCUUUUUUCCUCUUUCUUUUUCUAAACAAAACAAAAGGAAUAAGAAAAGAGGAACAGAGAGGAGAAGACAUAAUGUUGACUCAGGGUAGCACAUUAAGUGAAAAGAAACAAUACUGGUUCCUUUUGCUUCCAUGUCUUCCAACUGCUUUCCAACUUUGAGGAGAAGAAAUUGACACCUGGACUAUGGAACUGUGCGUAACAGCUUUUAAAGUAUAUUUAAAAAUUAAAUCUAUAUGCAUUUAAAUCUGUUUAUUGGGGAUAUAUUACAUGUAUUUUAAUCAUCUUCCUCAUAUAUAAUAAAUUAUUUUCUUUCCAAUAAAUAAUGUUCUUAAUUUUUCUUUAUGUUUAAUACAUUUGGAAAGUGUAAUUUGAUAAUUACAUAAAAAAUUUUUCAGGUAAAAAAAAUUUUUUUUCAGGUAAUUUUACAAUACUAAAUAGAAAUUUUCUUUUAUGAUUAUGGAUACAGCUCUUUUUUCAUUCUUACCUGGAUACCACUGCACUCACAUCCUUUUUUUUUUUUUUUUUUUUAAUAAUGUUACUUCUUAUUUCUUGUAAUUAUUUUAGGAGUGGUUUGUUUGGCUAUGAGUUUUGCUGUUUUUUGUUGUUGCUUGUUUUGUUUUAGUAGUGGGAGAUUUUUCCCACUUCAGGGGAUUUGUAUUCUUGUUCUUAAUGUCUUUUAUUUUGGUGCCCCCAAACCUUAAAGGUGUAAAUGUUUCCCAUACAAAAGUAUCCUGUUGUCUUAGUGAAAUUAGUUUCAGCUAUGUGUUAAUAUAAAACUUUGAUAUAUUUAAUUUGUUUAUUAAAAGUGUCCUGUGAAUAUGUAAUAGUAGCUUCAUCUUAGAAUCACUGCCCAAAGACUUGGGUCUUUGUUAGAAAGCUGUUGUGAAUCACAGUUUAUUCUUCAUAGCAUUGUGAAAUAAAGAAAAUAGAAAUUUUAAAGGUAA